rnacentral:rRNA from 1 species
UACGUAGGUGGCGAGCGUUAUCCGGAAUGAUUGGGCGUAAAGGGUGCGUAGGCGGCCUGCUAAGUCAGUUGUGAAAGUUUGCGGCUCAACCGUAAAAUUGCAGUUGAAACUGGCAGUCUUGAGUACAGUAGAGGUGGGCGGAAUUCGUGGUGUAGCGGUGAAAUGCUUAGAUAUCACGAAGAACUCCGAUUGCGAAGGCAGCUCACUGGACUGCAACUGACACUGAGGCUCGAAAGUGUGGGUAUCAAACAGG